AUUGAACGCUGGCGGCAGGCCUAACACAUGCAAGUCGAACGGUAACAGGAAACAGCUUGCUGUUUCGCUGACGAGUGGCGGACGGGUGAGUAAUGUCUGGGAAACUGCCUGAUGGAGGGGGAUAACUACUGGAAACGGUAGCUAAUACCGCAUAACGUCGCAAGACCAAAGAGGGGGACCCUCGGGCCUCUUGCCAUCGGAUGUGCCCAGAUGGGAUUAGCUUGUUGGUGGGGUAACGGCUCACCAAGGCGACGAUCCCUAGCUGGUCUGAGAGGAUGACCAGCCACACGGGAACUGAGACACGGUCCAGACUCCUACGGGAGGCAGCAGUGGGGAAUAUUGCACAAUGGGCGCAAGCCUGAUGCAGCCAUGCCGCGUGUAUGAAGAAGGCCUUCGGGUUGUAAAGUACUUUCAGCGGGGAGGAAGGGAGUAAAGUUAAUACCUUUGCUCAUUGACGUUACCCGCAGAAGAAACACCGGCUAACUCCGU
rnacentral:rRNA from 1 species